AAGAUUCAAGAAAAGCAGAGUUUCUCCUUUCAAAAAAAAAUCUUCCCCGGCGCCGAGCCCUAGGCGCCACCGGUCGUCCUGGGCUUCGUUGCCUACAGCUUCGCUGCUACCGAGCGUUCUCGCCGCCGGCCUCAAGUCGCAGCCCUUCCUGAACGAAAUCCCCAAGUAUGGACUCUGGACCGCUGCCACACCUCCCGUCGCCCCGGAGAUCCAACUCCAGAUUAUAUUCCUUCGCAACUAAUUCCUCUCUAAGAAAGAUCAUCUGGGUGACCUCGAUAACAUGGAUAUUGUGGAAGCGAGGGAGCAGAAACGGCAAAGGACCGUCACCAGCUGCCACCGGUUGGUUGAUACGGAGGAAGAUAUGACUGAUGCUGUUGAAGAGGUGGAGGAUGGAAAUCUUGGCAAGCCUAAGGACGACCUGGAAAGUAUGGUGCUUGUGACCGAUGCUGCUGCUGCUGAGUGCUGACUCUGAUGACGAGGAGAUUGAAGGCGAGUAUGCUGUUUAUUGUAUCCGUGCGGCAUCUUUGAGACUUUGACACGUGAACCUGGCUUGGAAGAUGAGGUCGACUGGGCAGUAACGUAAUAUAAAUGCAGUGUUCCACGCGCCAUACGGGGAGGUUCUGGUCUCUUUGGUCCGUUCCCCACGCUACAGUAGCCGAGGGCGAUAUCGAAGGCAAUCUCCAUUUCCGGCGCCAAUUCCGCCGUCGCUCGUCUGUCUGCAGCGUCCUCUGUGGGCGUGGGGCGGAUGGAGGCUACGGAAUCGGCGUCCGGUGUGUAUAGCUGUGACAUUCCGAAAAAUCAACCAAAUUAAAACAUGCGAUAAAAAUAUUUCCUCGUUGA